rnacentral:rRNA from 1 species
UGCCCAAGAGAUCGGGAUAACACCUGGAAACAGAUGCUAAUACCGGAUAACAACAGAUGAUGCCUAUCAACUGUUUAAAAGAUGGUUCUGCUAUCACUCUUGGAUGGACCUGCGGUGCAUUAGCUAGUUGGUAGGGUAACGGCUUACCAAGGCGAUGAUGCAUAGCCGAGUUGAGAGACUGAUCGGCCACAUUGGGACUGAGACACGGCCCAAACUCCUACGGGAGGCAGCAGCG